rnacentral:lncRNA from 1 species
AACUACUAUGACUUAAUCCCAGGCCACCCCUUAUACAUGGUGGAGGCAAUGGCUGGACUCCCCAUCCAGUCUGCUCUCCCUUAACACCCUAUCCUAACCUUGACUGAGCUGUGGCAUCCCAUAUCAGGCCACCAGGUAGGAGAAAUCCUGUCUUCACCCUGCUUGGCCUCUAACUCUUGUGACAGCUGUCAGGCCCUCUGACAUGGACACUCUGUUCCAGGCCACCCU